GGAGGGCUGUGUCGGCCGGAGCCCUGUGCCGAAGCGUGGGACUGGGAGAGCUGCGCCCUGCGGUCCCUACCCGGCCUCUCCCUGGGGGUGUGGCCGCCGUUUGUUGGGUCACAGCCAGGCUGCGACCUAAGAUCUUUCCUCAGCCUUGGCCAGUCCUAUCUCAGCAGUAAUGGCCGGUGUUAAGUAUGGUGCCUAGAAAAUUACAGACUAUUCCAGACCAGGAAGGAAAGUUGACUUCAUCUUCAGAUACUCAGGCUCCAGCCUGGAGACAACUCAUCUCUCCUCUGUCACUCCUUCCCCAUUAUUAAAGUUUGUGGAUGUUC